UGAACUGCGAGAUAAAGUCGAGGUGUC
rnacentral:sRNA from 1 species